UUAGCAUUUUCUAAAAUCCUAAAACUUAUUUCCAGAUUUAAAUAAAUGUUUUUAAAACAAUCCAAAUUGUCAGUAUGGUAUCAAACUUUUGGACUCCACUGUAUUAUUUUGCAGUAGUAUAUUAAAUACAUUAAAAAAAACUAUGCAAAUCUGUUCUGAUCAAACAUAUUCUACAGCUGACCAAACUAUUGUGUCCACAGGGGGAAAAGGGAAAGAAAGGCAAAAAGGGGCCUAAGGGGGAGAAAGGAGAACAGGGUGCCCCUGGAUUAGAUGCACCCUGCCCAUUGGGUCCAGAUGGACUUCCGAUGCCAGGCUGUUGGCAGAAGUGAUCACUCUAACUCAAAAUGCAUGGAGUUUGUAAAUAACGCUUCACUUUUUUGUAUUUAUAUUUUUGUUAAUUAAAAAAAAUGAUCAAGUAAAUUAAAUAUAAAUGAAAGUGGAUAUAGAUGUGUAUACAGUACAUGGGGGAAAAACAAGUCAUGAAGCUUACACGUAGCUGCUUCCUCUCACACCCGCGUGUUCAUGGCAACGUGUGUUACAUUCACAUCAACACUGUGGAAUUUGAACACUUGACCAGCAAGAAACUUUUAUUCAUGAGGAUGUGAAUGCCCGGCUUUGCAUGGCCAUUGGAAUGAGAGUGGAUACCAAAACAGACUAACAGGUUAAACUGAAAAGUUGGAGGAAAAGCUAUGAGAAACAGGCGACCGAGGGAUCUCGAGAGGAUUUGGCGUGCUUAGUGUGUUCAUCUAUAAAUCCAUCUCCACACCAUUACUACCAGCUCAAAAGACUAAAGACUCCAUCCACACACCCCGAAACAAGCAUGACGACAACUUGAACUUGUAUGUAUACACUAUGAAAAUCACUUUGUGGUGUGGUCAAAGUGUAUGGCUUCAAAUCACUAACUGCCUGUCAGUCUUUGUCACUUUGAAACAAAAAGAUGUGUUCCUCUAAGCGGGUUUCAUUGUUCGUUUGUUUGUUUUUUUCCACCUUAUGAAGGGUGUCACGCCUUGGCUGGUGGCUUGAGAAAGUGAUUCUCAAGAAAAGUGAAAAUGCUGGUUUUCUUUAUUGAAAAGAGGUCAGUCAGGAUCUGUCUCUCAGCCCUGAGUGACCACUUACAGACUCACAUUAUCAGAAGGACAGAAGAUGGAUCCAUUGUACUGUCUACGGCCAAUCCUGAGUACGCUAGGCAAAUGAUAGUUUUUCCAGAUGUGUUAAACACAGAAUUCCUUGUGCAGGAAGUCGCUAUGUUCACCCCUUCACCAGCAAAUCCAUCUUUUUUAACUCUUUUUUUUUUUUUUUGUCGCAAAGAGCUACACAUCUACUGAGAAAGGCAGGAUGGUAUUUUUACAUAUUUGUUUUUUCGUUAAUGGAAUAAUUCACCUAAAAAUGAAAAUCAUGUACCCAUCAUCUUGUUGUUCCAAAUGUGUAUUACUUUCCCCCCCUCUGUGAAACACAAAAGGAGAUGUUAAGCAGAAUGUUUGCCUUGUUCACCAUUCACUUUUAGUGCAUCUUUUUUCCACACAAUGAAAAUUAAAGGGAUAGUUUAUCCAAAAAUUAAAAUUCUCUCAUUAUUUACUCACCCUCAUGCCAUCCCAGAUGUGUAUGACUUUCUUUCUUCUGCAGAACAUAAAAUAAGCUUUUUAGGAAGAAUAUCUCAGUUCUGUAGGUCCUUACAAUGCAAGUGAAUGGUGACCAGACCUUUGAAGCUCCAAAAAUUACAUAAAGGCAGCAUAAAGUAAUCCAUAUUACUCCAGUGAUUAAAUCCAUAUGAGACUGAGACUGUCAUUCUGCCUAACAUAUCAUUUUGAGCUCCAUGGAGAGGAAAAAGAAAAGUCAUACGCAUUUGGAACAACAUCAGGGUGAGUAAAUGAUGACAGACUGUUUUGUUGAACUAUCCCUUUAAGGUGUGUGAUAAUAUUUAAAUUUGCUCAUUUUGUGUAUUAUAGCCUUUGGUGCCUGAAGUCAUUUGUUAUUCAUUCCUUAAUUGGAAACAUUAAUCUUUUUAUAUGCUUUAAGUUGUAAAUAUGACAUUUCAGUGUAUUUUUUUCAGUGUUGCAGCUACAAAAAAAGCUCCUAAGUGCUGUUCAUGUAUUACUAAAAUAUGU